ensembl:lncRNA
AUAAGGGGUACAGGAUAUAGAGUGAGUAUAGGAUAUAGAGUGUAUAAGGGGUAUAGGAUAUAUAGUGUAUAAGGGGUAUAGGAUAUAUAGUGUAUAAGGGUUAUAGGAUAUAGAGUGUAUAAGGGGUAUAGGAUAUAUUGUAUAUAAGGGGUAUAGGAUAUAUAGUAUAUAAGGGGUAUAGGAUAUAGAGUAUAUAAGGGGUAUAGGAUAUAGAGUGUAUAACAGGUAUAGGAUAUAGAGUGUAUAACGGGUAUAGGAUAUAGAGUAUAUAAGGGGUAUAGGAUAUAUAGUGUAUAACAGGUGUAGGCUAUAGAGUGUAUAAG